rnacentral:lncRNA from 1 species
AAAACUACUCAAGAUUGACUCAAACUACUCAAAAUUGACUCAAACACUCAACUAGACUAAGAAACACUUAAGACUUAAAACUGACUCAAACUACUCAAAACAGCAAAACUAAGUUAAAAAGACUCAAAACAAACUCUAGGGACUUUUUGGACGAAUUUAAGACUAGUAAGACUCAAAACACUAAAUUGGACAGAUUUAAACACUUUUCUAACUAAUCUAAGACAUUUGAUUAGAAUGGGGAUUGAUUUGGACGAAAAUUAACUAAAUUAAACAGAUUGCAAAACAAAGUAAAUUAGGUGAUUUGAAUGGUGAAAACAUAGCCAGAGGAUCCUUCUCCACACGUGACAUAUGCAUAUAAACCAAUUUCCAGUAUUGUUCCCUUAGACUAUAAAUGACAAUACACCAAGUAAACCAUGACAACACAAAUUAACCAUCAGAUUUUCCUUAAAUCAUUGAAUUGGACGGGAUACGCAUCACAACCAAAUUAUCCUUAUCAAGUUCCCUAACUAUGAAAAGCAUGAGAGAGAGACAUAUCAAAGGUCAUUAAGUUCCUUGAAAACCAUAAGCAUUGACGAGGCAUUCGUAACUAUGAAAAGCAUGAUACUCCUACCUAUAAUUUACUUAACGCAAUCAUGACUAGUGACUUCCACUACUUGUGAAUAUAAGUUCAUAAUGAUUAGGUGAAACUCCCUUAUAGUCUAGCAUCAAGUUUAUGCAUGCAAACUAAGUAUGCCUCCUCAAUCAACAUACAUAAACAAGUUUUAAGAACUCAGAUAAGCAAAUCACAUUCAAGGCUAAAGAAACAAUAACUGGAUGUAAUCAAUUCAUAUAAAACAUAUAAUCAUGGCUUCGAAUUCACCUCCAACUAUAAAGAAAUUAGUUCCUCAUGUUUGCAAUUAAACAAAGAUAACUUAAAUUAGACAUUGAAAAUAAAAGAUAGAAAACACCUAAGAACGCUCCAGCAAUCCAAUGUUGAAUGGCAAGGCACUGCAAAGGGCUCUAAGAACUCUCUCAAUUGUAUUUGAAUAAAUGGGUGUAUGGUGUACGAAAAUAUGGUAAAGGGUGGUGUUUUGAAUUGUGGCAGAAAAUAUGUAUUUAUAGGCUAAGGUUUUGCGCAAAGUAGUAGAGGAGAAGGAUUACACAAUCCUAGAGGAAUAGGACUAGGAAAUUUAGCACAAAGCUUCUAGAAAGGGAUUAAAUUCGUCAGAUUUCUAGGGGGAAAGGAUUAGGUUAUUUGCAUUGUUUCAAGGCUUCUAGAAUCAGAUAUUAGGUAUUCUAAUGUGAUAAGGAGUCCUCCUUGCAGCUGCAAUUAAGGUAGGAUAUGAUUAGGAUAGGAUAAGAUAAGAUAAUGUUAGUUUGGAUGAGAUAAGGUUGGAUAAGGUUUUGGAUAAGAUAAGGCAGUUUGGAUAAUAUCUCAUUCUUUUGAGCUGAUUCCUUAUCUUCAAUGUCUUGAAUUAAUUUCUUCAACUCUUUAGCACAUUCCUAGCCUCUCUUGAACUUCAAAUUUGUCCAUUCCUUGUGCUCCAUAUGUAAGCUAUCCAUUCCAUCCCAAAACUGCUCUAAAAUGCUCCAAAAUGCACUUUCUUGCCAACUUUGUCAUUUGGACCUACAAACACACGAAAAUAGCUUAAAACACUAUAAUAAGUAGAAACUAGCUAUGAUAAUGCAAGAAAACAAGCUAACUAAUUCGCAUAAAUAUGCUCCUAUCAUGACACUUUCUCACCCUUUAUCCGAUCAAUGCAUUACCGCAAGUCUAGGGCAAAAGGUUUUCCAUGGGUUUAAUAUUUAAUUCCUGGUUUUGGAGUAAGGUGGUACUUCAAAUAUCGCAAUGCAAAUCUUUAUAAACGCUAAGUUUAGGAGGUGAUGCUUUUUCAAAUCAAUGUCACCAAGGGGGUUUUGAUGAACUAUGUCCCGGGCCCACAAGCUUACUUAUAUUUUUUCUCAAUACUCCUUACUUCGAAGUUAGCUUACUUUGGAAAGAUUGAUGGAUUAAACUAUAUUCUACAAUUAGGAAGAAAAUGAUGAAAAUUUCCAAGUGUUUUACUCUAACAAGCUUAAUGACUUGAGUAAAAUAAACUUAGCAGGAUAUUCCUAAGGUAUCUAAGUCCUUCCACAAUCCGCCUUGCAUCUAGCUUUUUAGCUAUGCAUCUGGAACCUCAACCAAGGGUUUACCAUAUGGUUUGGAACUCCAAAACAUCAAGCCAUUGAAAGACAAGCAAGUAGGACUAACUGGACUUGGCUGGCUCUGAAUCAACAAGACGUUGAAAAGUCAUUCUGACGCACAUUCCAAGGAAGUUAUUCUCGGAUGAUUCACUCAUAGUCCGUUGGUAACUAUCUAUCAUCAAAACGGAGCACAUUCUCAGAAGCAUAGUUAGGGGUAACUAUGGGGCCAUGAUUUUCUAGGCCUAUAACACGUGGAAAGAAUGAUUAGAAUACCCGAAGCCUAUAAAGUGUAGUCCGCUAGGAUAGGUUUAUGCCGGUUAAUAAUAUUACUUGUCUCUCAAAUAAAGAAACCCUAAUUAAAGUCAAAUUAUGAUAUCUUAGGGAUUGGGAAACAUAAUCAUGAUUAUAGAAAUAUUGGGUAUCUUAUCCUACAUUUCCUUUUAGAUAGUCUCCUGAUUUGAUGAAGAUUACUUUCCCUAUAAGAACUCUUAAGAUCCCUAUAAAUAUACUAGCUUGGGUAUUUAUCAGGGGAACAUCUAAUUCUCUCUAAGUAGGACGAACUUCGAUCUCUCUUUCUCAGAGCUAUCUCUUCUAGGACGAUCACUUUUCUCUCAACAAGACUACCAUUGAUAUCUACCUACAUUUACAUAUUUCCUUGUACAAAACCAUAAUACUUAAUAUCUCUAUGCUUAACAGAGGUCUUUACGUUGCCGUUUACGCAUAGAUACGUCCAUGAGGAACUCAUCUCCCAAUGUCACACCAUAAGCUAUUCAUCAAGGAUGGUUUACUCCACUAUUUCAUAGAACUACAUCCCUGGGUUGAUUCUCCUUCCCGAAGAUAUGUAGGUAGUCCUUCCUAGAUUCAACCACACCCCUUAAUCAACCCCAUUCUCCUCUCAUCGGAGACCAUGGGUUAGUCUGAUUGGGUUCUUGCCUUUGUUAAUAGAAAUACACGAAUUUGGUUAAAACAAGAUGGUAUAAUACACACCUCACAAUUAGACAUCUCUUUCUUU